GACGAACGCUGGCGGCGUGCUUAACACAUGCAAGUCGAGCGGAAAGGCCACUUCGGUGGUACUCGAGCGGCGAACGGGUGAGUAACACGUGAGUAAUCUGCCCUUGGCUUUGGGAUAGCCACCGGAAACGGUGAUUAAUACCGGAUACGACCACUUCUCGCAUGGGAUGGUGGUGGAAAGUUUUUCGGCCAGGGAUGUGCUCGCGGCCUAUCAGCUUGAUGGUGAGGUAAUGGCUCACCAUGGCUUCGACGGGUAGCCGGCCUGAGAGGGUGACCGGUCACACUGGGACUGAGACACGGCCCAGACUCCUACGGGAGGCAGCAGUGGGGAAUAUUGGACAAUGGGCGGAAGCCUGAUCCAGCAACGCCGCGUGAGGGAUGACGGCCUUCGGGUUGUAAACCUCUUUCGGUGGGGACGAAGCGCAAGUGACGGUACCCACUAAAGAAGCACCGACCAACUACGUGCCAGCCGCCGCCGUAAUAC
rnacentral:rRNA from 1 species